UGGGGAAUCUUGCACAAUGGGGGAAACCCUGAUGCAGCGACGCCGCGUGAGCGAUGAAGCCCUUCGGGGUGUAAAGCUCUUUCGACAGGAACGAUAAUGACGGUACCUGGAGAAGAAGCUGCGGCUAACUACGUGCCAGCAGCCGCGGUAAUACGUAGGCAGCAAGCGUUGUUCGGAAUUACUGGGCGUAAAGAGUGUGUAGGCGGUGUUCCAAGUCUGUUAUGAAAUCUCCCGGCUCAACUGGGAGGGUGCGGCGGAAACUGGAAUGCUCGAGUAUGGGAGAGGUAAGCGGAAUUCCUGGUGUAGCGGUGAAAUGCGUAGAUAUCAGGAGGAACACCCGUGGUGUAGACAGCUUACUGGACCAUCACUGACGCUGAGACACGAAAGCGUGGGUAGCAAAC
rnacentral:rRNA from 1 species